AUGACGAAGAAGCAGCGCAGGGAGGCUGGUGCCAGGCGGCAGCAGCAGGCCCGCCAGCGGCUGCGGCCGCCGCCGCCGCUGCAAGCGCGCGACGAGCGCUCCGUCUCAUGCACCACCUUCAACAUCCUCGCGCCGAUCUACAAGCGCAUGGAUUCUGAGAAUGGCAGGGAGAGCCAGAACAGGGCCAACUGGUUUAGCAGGAAUGAGAAAAUCAUCGACCGCCUCCUCGGCGAUCGCUCCUCCAUCAUCUGCCUCCAGGAGGUGUGGUUGGGGAAUGAUGAGCUAGUAAACAUGUACGAGAAGCGGCUCGGUGAUGCGAAUUAUAGGCUGUUCAAGCUAGCCCGCACAAAUAACCGCGGAGAUGGUCUUCUAACUGCUGUACAUAGGAAUUACUUCUGUGUCUUGAACCACCGGGAGCUUCUUUUCAAUGAUUUUGGAGAUCGAGUUGCUCAGCUAUUGCAUGUUGAGUCAGCCAUACCUUUCUUGCAAAAUCGGAGCAGCAGCUAUGUCCAGCAGCAGAGCCUCAUUGUGAACACUCAUUUGGUGUUUCCCCACGAUCACAGCCUUUCAAUAGUUCGACUGAAGCAGGUAUAUAAGAUCCUUCAGUACAUAGAAGCUUAUCAGGAAGAGCAUAAACUUGGUCCAAUGCCUAUCAUCUUAUGUGGUGAUUGGAAUGGAAGUAAGCGCGGCCAAGUUUACAAAUUUCUUCGUUCACAAGGAUUUGUUUCAUCAUAUGACACUGCUCAUCAGUACAGUGACAGCGAAGAAGAUGCACACAAGUGGGUGAGUCAUCGGAAUCAUAGAGGGAACAUCUGUGGAGUUGAUUUUAUAUGGCUUCUGAAUCCAGACAAGUGCAGGAAGCCCCUGAAAACUAGCUGGAAUGAAGCUGUCUUUGGUAUUAUGAAGUAUCUUCUUCUCCAAGUUGCAUCUCUUCCGGAGGAGAAUGCAUUUGCACUUCUCAAAGCUGACAGUUCAGAUGAUCGUAUCACAUAUUCAAGCUUCUGCCAGGCACUUUGUCAGUUAGGAAUGGUCCACCCCGAUCGUGUAAAUUCUGAAGAAAUGGAAGAUCUAUGGAGUGAAGUUGACCACGAUGGGAAUGGUGCUGUUGACUACAAAGAAUUUCAGCGGUGUAUCUGGAGCCCAAAAUGCUACAACCAAGAAGAGGAGGAUGAUACUGAAAUCGACGUCGCUGAAGGAAGCAUCGUCACAUUUGAGCCGAACGACGAAACCUUUGGCUUCACCGUGAAGGAAGCUGUUCUGUUCCCCCCAGAAGUUGAGAAGGGCAUGUGGCCUGAGAACUACAGCCUCUCAGAUCACGCGCCCCUUACUGUGGUGUUCUCCCCUGUAAGAAUGCCUUGCUCUCCACGCACUCCUCAGCACCCCUAG
rnacentral:rRNA from 1 species